GCUGGGGUUGACAAGAGGCUGCUGGUCUCACCGGGCUGUACUCUUUAAAUUCUUCAUUUCAUCUUUCAUUCUCCAGAUCAGAUCCCCAUCCCUGGGUAGAUGUGCAAGUUUGCAUUUUCUGCCUUCCAACACGAGUCAAGUCGAGGCAUAUACCUGUGUGGAGUCAUUACAGCCAUAUGGAUGUAGGUGUAGCCUGUUUUGGAAGAUCCUGGUGAGAACCCCCAACUCUCCACACUUCCCAUCUCACCAUCAGUUCCUGAAUAUGGAGUCCAGUGGGAAACUCAUGUCUCAUCUUUUUCUCCUUUGAGUAUGUCAGAUACCGUGGAACAAGAAUGAAAACCAUCACCUUCGCCGAUAGCUCUGCAUUGGGUUUGGAGUCACAAAGUCCACACAGGGUCAAACCACUCGUCCUUCAUUGCCUUGGUAGCUGUGGAAUGACAGCCACCUGCUGCCACUGCCCUGCCUUUGGGGUUCAUGUGCUACAAAAGUUGUAGGUCCUUCUGGUUGUGCUACGUGGGACGCCGCCUCAGCAUGGCCUGAUGAGCCGUGCCAUGUCUGUGCCCAGGAUCUGAACUGGCGAAACCCUGGGCCACUGAAGCAGAGCGCAUGAACCUAACCACUUGGCCA
rnacentral:lncRNA from 1 species